CUGAACUUAAGCAUAUCAAUAAGCGGAGGAAAAGAAACCAACAGGGAUUGCCCUAGUAACGGCGAGUGAAGCGGCAACAGCUCAAAUUUGAAAUCUGGCUCUUUCAGGGUCCGAGUUGUAAUUUGCAGAGGGCGCUUUGGCUUUGGCAGCGGUCCAAGUUCCUUGGAACAGGACGUCACAGAGGGUGAGAAUCCCGUACGUGGUCGCUAGCUAUUGCCGUGUAAAGCCCCUUCGACGAGUCGAGUUGUUUGGGAAUGCAGCUCUAAAUGGGAGGUAAAUUUCUUCUAAAGCUAAAUACUGGCCAGAGACCGAUAGCGCACAAGUAGAGUGAUCGAAAGAUGAAAAGCACUUUGGAAAGAGAGUCAAACAGCACGUGAAAUUGUUGAAAGGGAAGCGCUUGCAGCCAGACUUGCUUGCAGUUGCUCAUCCGGACUUUUGUCCGGUGCACUCUUCUGCAGGCAGGCCAGCAUCAGUUUGGGCGGUGGGAUAAAGGUCUCUGUCACGUACCUCUCUUCGGGGAGGCCUUAUAGGGGAGACGACAUACCACCAGCCUGGACUGAGGUCCGCGCAUUUGCUAGGAUGCUGGCGUAAUGGCUGUAAGCGGCCCGUCUUGAAACACGGACCAAGGAGUCUAACAUCUAUGCGAGUGUUUGGGUGUCAAGCCCGAACGCGUAAUGAAAGUGAACGGAGGUGGGAACCCGCAAGGGUGCACCAUCGACCGAUCCUGAUGUCUUCGGAAGGAUUUGAGUAAGAGCAUGGCUGUUGGGACCCGAAAGAUGGUGAACUAUGCUUGAAUAGGGUGAAGCCAGAGGAAACUCUGGUGGAGGCUCGCAGCGGUUCUGACGUGCAAAUCGAUCGUCAAAUUUGGGCAUAGGGGCGAAAGACUAAUCGAACUAUCUAGUAGCUGGUUCCUGCCGAA
rnacentral:rRNA from 1 species